rnacentral:misc_RNA from 1 species
GAUGAAGAACGUAGCGAACUGCGAUAAGUAAUGUGGAUUGCAGAAUUCAGUGAAUCAUCGAGUCUUUGAACGCACAUUGCGCCCCCUGGCAUUCCGGGGGGCAUGCCUGUCCGAGCGUCAUUGCUGCCCUUCAAGCCCGGCUUGUGUGUUGGGUCGUCGUCCCCCCCGGGGGACGGGCCCGAAAGGCAGCGGCGGCACCGCGUCCGGUCCUCGAGCGUAUGGGGCUUUGUCACCCGCUCGAUUAGGGCCGGCCGGGCGCCAGCCGGCGUCUCCAACCUUCUAUUUUACCAGGUUGACCUCGGAUCAGGUAGGGAUACCCGCUGAACUUAAGCAUAUCAAUAAGCGGAGGA